rnacentral:lncRNA from 1 species
GUCAUUAGGCAUCAGGGAAACGCAAAUCAAGACCACAAUGAGACACCACUUCACACCCAUUAGAAGGGCUAUAACUUAAAAAAACAAAAAAGAAAAAUAACACGUUGGCAAGGAUACGGAAAAAUUGGAACCCUCACGCCCUGCUUGCGGGAAUGUAAAGUGGUUCGGCUGCUGUGGAAAGCAGUUUGGCAGCUCGCCUAAAUGUUAAACAUAGAGUUAGCAUAUGACCCAGUAAUUCCACUGGGUGGUAUUUACCCAAAAGAACUGAAAACAACCAUUCGAACAUACCUGUUUUGACAGGUAUGACACACGCUCCAACAUGGAUGAACCGUGAAAACACUAUACUGAGUAAAAUAAGCCAGACACAAAGGACAGACGCUGUAAGAUGCCACUUACUUGAAAUAUGUAGUGAGGAGUCGGGCUCCGGGUUAAACGUCUUUGUGCGACUUUUUGGCCGCCACAGGCCAUUACAAACGCUUUCCCUGGUGGCCAUGCGGGGAGGGGUGGGGAAGCUCCCUUCCCCCAGCAGCCCGGCCCGGCGGCGGGCACUGCGGGCUCUGAGGGAGCUGCAGGCGAGGACUCUGCCCCUGGCCGGCCUUCUCCUCGCCCAUUUACAUUCCUAGCCGGGUGCCUCCAUUCCUAGGUCGCUAUCUGCGACCUCAGGCAGGGCUCUUCUCCAGGCGCCUCUGUGAGGCCUCUUUAGGUGGGGAUGAGGGGGGACCACCAAGAUACUGCCCCCCUGACUCAGGGCCCAGUGCUCCUCCACUCCCCGCUGUCCUCCUCCACACCCACCCCUCCUCCUCCCUGUGGGGUCCCCUCAACACGUGCUCUGCUCCACCUGACCCUCCACAGGUGCGCCACUCAUGGGGGAAGAUGGAACGGGGCGUCGGUGCCUUCUCGCUUCUGUCACCGCAACUCUUCAAGGUGUGAAAAUUAAUAAAGGGAAACCUUACACAAAAUGGAGUGGGGAGGCCAGAAGGGGGAGCCCUCAGCACUACCGCUCUGCGUCAAUUCCAGGAAAGAUCGUCCGUCACAGGCCCCGGAAGAGACGUCCACUGCCUUCCAGACAAGAAAGACCACUCCAGCAACCCAGCCAACGAGAAACAGUCACCACCCUGAACAAGACCUUGUUUUCCACCAAUGGGCUUCUGUUCAAAACAACCCUCCCAACUUCCUCCUUUUUCUCUAUAAAAUAAAGUCCCUCUCCUUUGUGUGCUAGACUUGACUGUGGCUUUUGCUAUAGUGUGCUUGUCCCAAAUUGCAAUUCCUUUCCUAUUCCCAAAUAAACUGAUUUUGCUGGUAAAAUAA